UGGUGAGAACCCUAUGAGGGAGUGAAG
rnacentral:piRNA from 1 species